GAUGAACGCUAGCGGCAGGCUUAAUACAUGCAAGUCGUACGGGAUCCGAGGUAGCAAUACUUUGGUGAGAGUGGCGCACGGGUGCGUAACACGUAUGCAACCUACCUUUAACCGGGACACAACCUUGAGAAAUUGAGGCUAAUAUCCCAUAACACUGCGAAGUGGCAUCACUAUGCAGUUAAAACUCCGGUGGUUAUUGAUGGGCAUGCGCGACAUUAGCUAGUUGGUGAGGUAACGGCCCACCAAGGCUACGAUGUCUAGGGGUUCUGAGAGGAUUAUCCCCCACACUGGUACUGAGACACGGACCAGACUCCUACGGGAGGCAGCAGUAAGGAAUAUUGGUCAAUGGGCGCAAGCCUGAACCAGCCAUGCCGCGUGAAGGAUGACGGCCCUAUGGGUUGUAAACUUCUUUUGUACGGGAAGAAACCUCUGGUCGUGUACCAGAGCUGAUGGUACCGUAAGAAUAAGCAUCGGCUAACUCCGUGCCAGCAGCCGCGG
rnacentral:rRNA from 1 species